rnacentral:rRNA from 1 species
CCUACGGGAGGCAGCAGUGAGGAAUAUUGGUCAAUGGGCGCAAGCCUGAACCAGCGACGCCGCGUGCGGGAUGAAGGGGCUUUGCCUCGUAAACCGCUGUCGGAUGGGACGAAAGGUGGCUUUAAGCCACUGGGACGGUACCAUCAAAGGAAGGAUCGGCUAACUACGUGCCAGCAGCCGCGGUAAUACGUAGGAUCCGAGCGUUGUCCGGAGUUACUGGGUGUAAAGGGUGCGUAGGCUGUUCUGUGCGUCAGAGGUGAAAUCCACGGGCUUAACUCGUGGGGUGCCUUUGAUACGGCAGGGCUUGAGUACGAGAGAGGUGCGUGGAAUUCCUGGUGUAGCAGUGAAAUGCGUAGAUAUCAGGAGGAACACCGGUGGCGAAGGCGGCGCACUGGCUCGUAACUGACGCUGAGGCACGAAAGCGUGGGGAUCAAACAGGAUUAGAUACCCUGGUAGUCCACGCCUUAAACGAUGCAUGCUUGGUGUUGGUCUCGCAAGAGAUCAGUGCCGUAGUUAACAUGAUAAGCAUGCCACCUGGGGAGUACGAUCGCAAGGUUGAAACUCAAAGGAAUUGACGG